rnacentral:rRNA from 1 species
UGGGGAAUUUUGCGCAAUGGGCGAAAGCCUGACGCAGUAACGCCGCGUGGAGGAUGAAGGCCUUCGGGUUGUAAACUCCUGACAGGGGGAAAGAUGUGCCCUAGGUGAAUAUCUCUGGGUGCAAGACGGUACCCCCAAAGGAAGCCCCGGCUAAUUCCGUGCCAGCAGCCGCGGUAAUACGGAAGGGGCAAGCGUUGUUCGGAAUCAUUGGGCGUAAAGGGCGCGUAGGCGGUCCCGUAUGUCCGCUGUGAAAUCACACGGCUCAACCGUGUUGUGUCGGCGGAAACUGCGGGACUUGAGGCUGGGAGGGGCCAGUGGAAUUCCCCAUGUAGCGGUGAAAUGCGUAGAGAUGGGGGAGAACACUCGUGGCGAAGGCGGCUGGCUGGACCAGUUCUGACGCUGAGGCGCGAAAGCGUGGGGAGCAAACAGGAUUAGAUACCCCCGUAGUCC